rnacentral:rRNA from 1 species
UACGUAGGUGGCAAGCGUUGUCCGGAUUUACUGGGUGUAAAGGGCGUGCAGCCGGAGAGACAAGUCUGAUGUGAAAUCCACGGGCUCAACCCGUGAACUGCAUUUGAAACUGUUUCCCUUGAGUGUCGGAGAGGUAAUCGGAGUUCCUUGUGUAGCGGUGAAAUGCGUAGAUAUAAGGAAGAACACCAGUGGCGAAGGCGGAUUACUGGACGAUAACUGACGGUGAGGCGCGAAAGCGUGGGGAGCAAACAGG